rnacentral:rRNA from 1 species
AUACGUAGGGGGCAAGCGUUAUCCGGAUUUACUGGGUGUAAAGGGAGCGCAGGCGGGAAGGCAAGUCAGCGGUGAAAACUAUGGGCUUAACCCAUAGACUGCCGUUGAAACUGUUUUUCUUGAGUGAAGUAGAGGCAGGCGGAAUUUCUAGUUUAGCGGUGAAAUGCGUAGAUAUUAGGAGGAACACCAGUGGCGAAGGCGGCUUGCUGGACGACAACUGACGCUGAGGCGCGAAAGCGUGGGGAGCAAACAGGAUUAGAUACCCUGGUAGUCCACGCUGUAAACGAUGAAUACUAGGUGUGGGGGGACUGACCCCCUCCGUGCCGCAGUUAACACAAUAAGUAUUCCACCUGGGGAGUACGAUCGCAAGAUUGAAACUCAAAGGAAUUGACGGGG